GAUGAACGCUGGCGGCGUGCCUAAUACAUGCAAGUCGAGCGAACAGAUGAGGAGCUUGCUCCUCUGACGUUAGCGGCGGACGGGUGAGUAACACGUGGAUAACCUACCUAUAAGACUGGGAUAACUUCGGGAAACCGGAGCUAAUACCGGAUAAUAUAUUGAACCGCAUGGUUCAAUAGUGAAAGACGGCUUUGCUGUCACUUAUAGAUGGAUCCGCGCCGCUUUAGCUAGUUGGUAAGGUAACGGCUUACCAAGGCAACGAUGCGUAGCCGACCUGAGAGGGUGAUCGGCCACACUGGAACUGAGACACGGUCCAGACUCCUACGGGAGGCAGCAGUAGGGAAUCUUCCGCAAUGGGCGAAAGCCUGACGGAGCAACGCCGCGUGAGUGAUGAAGGUCUUCGGAUCGUAAAACUCUGUUAUUAGGGAAGAACAAAUGUGUAAGUAACUAUGCACGUCUUGACGGUACCUAAUCAGAAAGCCACGGCUAACUACGUG
rnacentral:rRNA from 1 species